UCCUGGCAAGGCAAGGCGAUGGGGUGCCCUGAGGUCGCGGAGUGAGGACCCCGAGGGAGGGGGAGCGGCGGGCGGAGAUGAUCAGGCAGAGCGGGGGACAGCCCCGAGGCUGGCUGUCCGCCGCAGUUUGAAAAUAACAGUUGGGCGCUGCCGGUGUGGCAGCCUCGGCUCUUGCCCGGCCCGGGCCUGACGCGGCGUCGCGCCCCUGGGAGCUGCGCGGGGCGAGCGGCCGCGCCUGCUUUGUGCUCAGCGCUGACUGACGCUCCCAGGCCGGCCGGCGCGCGCCGCGGGGUUGGGGCGCCCGAAGCGGGGAGGAUUGGCGGCGAGGCGCCGGCCUCAGCAUGUCGCUGCCCCCGGAGAAAGCCUCCGAGCUGAAGCAGCUCAUCCACCAGCAGCUGAGCAAGAUGGAUGUCCAUGGCAGAAUAAGAGAAAUCCUUGCUGAGACAAUACGUGAAGAGUUGGCACCUGAUCAGCAGCAGUUAUCCACAGAAGAUUUGAUUAAAGCCCUUAGACGUCGGGGAAUCAUUGAUGAUGUGAUGAAAAGACUUAAUUUUGUUACUGUGAUGGAACUAGAAUGGCUGACUCAACGACAAUGUUAUCAAUAAGUGAUCCAGUUCAUAUGGUGCUAAUCAAAACAGACAUAUUUGGUGAGACCACUUUAGUAGCGUCCUAUUUUCUCGAAUGGCGGUCCGUUUUAGGCUCAGAAAAUGGAGUGACCAAUCUUACCGUGGAACUUAUGGGUGCAUGGCUUGAAAAUUUGUCCUCCAUGUGCUGUGAAAAUGGAAGGGAUAAAUGGGAAUGACUAUAUGAGACAAAGAGUGCACAGAAUCAAAAAUUUCUAUGGCAAUUUUAAAUCUGAAACUUGAGAUGAACCUCUCCUCAAUCAAACGUUGCCUAUAAAAAGUACUAAACACAGAUGCUUUUAAGAUCUUCUCUUUGAUUUUGGUGUCUGUAUUUAACUACAUUAUGUGGUCACCUAACGCUGCUAGAGAACGCUCCCUCCAGCCUCUCCAUGGUUGCUCCUGGUUAGAGUGCAUGUGCAGCCUUCCCUCUUGCCUGAAAGGAUCUGCGUUCUCACUUAGUGUGUGUCCUAGUUUUGUCAUGUGCUAUAGUCCUUUCCUUUUCCCAUAAAACAAAAACAGGACUGAAUGUAGAAGGAGCCAGGAUCACUGAUUAAAUAGGAUGCUAAAGUGCUGGAGGCUAGAACUGGCCUUGCAGGUCCCUCAGGUCAAGGUUGCAACUAUCAGACUUCUCUGCUUGAAACCUGGCUCAAACUGGCAGAAAGAGAACAAAAUGAAAAAUGCUGCUCAUGCCAGCAGAGAAAUCGGUAAGAACUCCCUGACUAAGCUUCAGCCACAAUAGCCAUUGCACUACUUAGAGAGGCCAUUCUAGUCUCUUAUCAUGAGUCAGUGUGCCUAGAUUGGACACUGGUGUUUGAUGAAGUGAUCCUUUGCUAGCACGUGGUGGUGGUAUCAGGUCACAUAUUCCACCUGCCCCCGCUGGCAGGGGCAGGAGCUGUGUUUUCUGAACCUACUGCUUGUGCUGGAAGUUGUGCUGAUAGGGUUCAUCUGCCUUUGCCCACUGGCCGCAACCACUUGGCACAUCACACACACAUGUGCAGGUGCUCUGGUGCUCGUCCGCUGCCUUGGCCAGAUGGGGUGGGAUGGGCGCUUUCUUUCACAUGCUGAUGGGCCCGCUGUGCACUCACAGGUAGUUCUCCUGGUCUGCUGCACUUGGUGGUGGCACCCAUGUAGUAGCUGAGCUGCACCACUCAGUGUGGAGCAUUCCAGCAGGCCAGGCUGCCCCUCCAAAAGCGAAAGUAUUCAUGCUGGCCCGCCUCUUCUUACAGUCAUGUGCCAGAUGCUGCAUGAGGACCCACGACCUAGAUCACUGCCAUUGAGGGGAGAGAGGGGAUCCACUCACCUCCUUCUACUGCUUCCCAGGGCUCCAGUACCCCCACCUUCAGACGUGUGACUGCGUGGAUAUCUCAGUUGUCCUAUUGUGCUUUGAAGGGAAUCCUCUGUUGGUUAAUGAAUGUCCAUUUGGUUGUAACUUAGGAGGGGAAAGACUAAGGGAACAGCUCACUGUAUCAUGAUGCUCUCAGCUCUCUCCAUUCUUCUGUUGAUCCCAACCAUUCUAAAUGGCUAUGUAUGCACCUCUCUCCCCCUGACAAUAGUCUUUAUCUUAUCACCCUGUUUGUUUCUUGCAUGGAACUUAAUGUUUAAAAAUUGUUUACUUAUUGUAUAUCUCCCAAGCUCCCUCCCACCCUAGUCCAGAUUCCUGGCUACCUGAGGGCAAGACCUACAUCUACCUACUGACCCCAGGGCUCGCAGAAUGUCAGCAUUCAAUCAAUAUUUUGAAUGGAAUGAAUGAAUCUAAACUCAUGAUGGAGAAUUCAUGGUGGACAGAGAUAACCCUAUGACAUUUCAGGCCAGUGAAAGUUUAUGAGCAAAAGCAGUGUCAGAAAAGCCCAGUGUUUGCGGGGCACUAAAUCUUUAUCACCUGACCAAGACAGAAGAAAAUCUAAUGUCAUCAUGUCACAUAUUCAGAAAUAAGUUUGGAGAAGGUGUAGGUCUUAAACACAAAGCUAGGGAUUUUGGACUUUGUCCUGUAAGCAUUUGUAUCCCAUUGAACUUUUUAGUAAGGGAGUAAAAUGAAUAAGAUUAACCUAGCUCUGGCGGGCAGUGCUAGUUCUUAUGUUAAUUAUACUGUAUCAUAAUUGCUGGAUGCUUCUCUCCUUCCCCACCAGACUGUUAGCUCCUCCAGGGCAGGCACCAUGUCUGAAUCACCAUAUGAGAUCCCAACUCAGAGCAGGAUGGUUGGUACAUAAGAGGCACGCAAUGAAUGUUUGGAAUGGGUGAAUUCAUUAACUAAUAAACUUUGGGGGAGCAAUUAUGCUUCCGCAACUUAAAUCUGCCUUCUCUGAUCUACCCUUUUCUUUGGAGGUAUCAGAAUGGAGGUCAAAGUAAGCAACUAAGCACAAAGUGAGCAACUAAGCACACAGUGGUGAUAGUGUUGCUGAAGUCCCUCCCACAGCAGCUGCGUGGUAGACAUGGUCUUGUCUCUUGACUCAGAGUAACCUCGUGAGGGAAGUCUGUGAGAGGGUUACCAACAGAUGUGCCGCCUGACUCUGAUAUUGCCAUGCACUAUAAUGAUUAAUACAUAACAGAAAACAUUUUCUUGCCAAAGCUUAGUUGACUCAAUUUUAAUAUUCUUUUAGACAGAUCUCCUUACUUAUAGUGACAUGGUAUAAAUAUAAGAAGAAAGAAUGUCAAAUAUCACUUCAUGUAAUAACAGUGUUACUGUUCAUGCACAUAAAUUACAUUUACCUAUUUAAAAGCAAGCAAAGUGCUCAGUUUUGCAAUUUAACACUUUUAGAUAUGCCACAUUUUAAAAUUAUGUCAUUACAACUGGUAGAAGUUAGUAAUCACCACUAAAAUGUGUUUUCUUGAAUUAUUGAUGAACUACUUAUAGUAAAAUUCUUUAAAAAAAUCAUUUGAAAGGGCAAAAUUUAAAGGCACCUUUGUUACAUUUAUUUUCACACGUUCCAGACUCAUCCGACAUCCUUUGAAUACCUCUUAUGUGGCAAAUAUCACGAAAACUUCUAUAGUUCCACUGUCCGAAAUGGCAGCUCCUAGUCAGGCGUGGCAAUUUAAACUUAGGCUUUAGUUAAUUAAAAUUAGCUAAAAUUUUCAGUUCCUCAGUCUCACUAGUCACGUUUCAAGUGCUCCAUAGCCACUGUGGCUAGCAGCUGCUGUAUUGAACAGAGCAGAAUAGAACGUUUCCAUCAUGACAGAAAGUUCUAUUGGACAGCAUUGCUCCAGAGAGAAGAAGUAAAUACGACCCAUCAUGAGCACCAGUCAUAGCAUCAAGAGCUACUGACGCAUGUCUGGGAUUUAUUUUUAGAGUAGGUAUCUUUGCCCACAUUGAUGAAAAUGCUUUAAAGUGUCCUCGUUCUCAGUAAACAAUAAUUCUGUUCAGUGCUAAAUCAAACUAUGGCCACUGAAGAAGAGAUGUGGCCUUACCCUUAUCAGGUUCUUACCUGUUUGAACUAGUUGUAUAUUUUGUUUUAAGCCAACUGUAGUGUAGUUUUCCAAAAUGACAUUUUGAAAGCAAACAACUUCAAGGUAUUAGCUUAAACCUGAGCUCAUCCUUUAUGUUCUAAUCUACUGGCUUUCAGUUCCUCUGUCUAUAAAGGGAAUAACUCAUAACAGUUAUGAGUUCCUGUGCCCCUUCACUGGACCCAGGAAUUGAAGAGUCUAAGUGCGUAGGAGAGCUUAUCCUAAAGUGUCUGACAGUGCAUACAUCAGAGGGUUUAUUGGAUAAAGAUGCAAUCUUGGUCCAUCUGCUCCAGACAUUUUAUCACAUUCUUAUUCUCUUGCAGAUCACCUAGAAAGCAGAUAGUUCCUUUGACCCAGAAAUAGGUUUAGCCAAUCAAAGCGGAAGAGUUUCAAAACUGAGAAAUGAAACCCAUUUUCUGUUCUUUGGAUUGUAUCCGGGGACCGCAUACUCCUGUACCAUCUGAGCUAGCACAGCUAAGGGUUUUGGACCUCCAGCAACAAAUAAGUUUGCCACCAAAAUAUCAAGUAUUGUGCAUUCCUGAAUUAUGCAUUUUAUCAGAAGUAACAUUUUUGUACUUUUUCAUUUCUAUUGUCAAGUACACAAAGCUCACCCAAACUUACACAUUGUAUUCGAAUUAAUAUUUUAGAGUGUCUGAAAAUCAGGCUCAUGGAAUUAAAGUACUACAAAUAUUUAUAAUUUGGGAGCUUAAGAUCAUCCUGUGUUGGAAAGCAGCCACUGAUUAACAGUUUGCGUUGGAGGACUUGGACAGGAGCAGAAGGUUCUGUUCUGUGCACUCUUAGCCACUUCACCGUCCCAAGUUACCAGAGCAGCAGUGUUGGAAAAAUCUCUGUAAUGAGCCAUGAAUGACUGCGUGCUCAGCAGAGAGACAGCAGUAUAUGGAGUUCACUUCCAGAAGGAUCAGCUUUCCUUGGUAUUUAGUAGUUUCACCCUUAGUAGUUUCAAGUCCUGAAGAGAGAGGUGACAACAGAGGGGUGGCACCAGGCACGCACAGCCUCUAGCCUUUUGCUUGUUGAGACUCAAUUACGCCAUCCAACAAAAGACACAGUUUGAGAAAUAUUUCUGGGCAUGUGCAACUGCAGAAAGUGUCUUUGUGCUUCAGACUAGAGGAAAUGGAGUUGACAUCUGGUGUGCGAUAUGUAACAGCAAGAAACACAAUUCCAUGGGCAUUUUCUUUUCUCAUUUUCCCUUUGGGUGUGAGUGGGGAAGUGUUUGAGUUUGACUGUUUUGGCUGGGGGUAGACGAGAAGGAGGCGGAGAGGGGCUCACUCUUUUUAUCAGUGUUAGCUAAAUAGUAUUUGGCCUUGAUUUUUGUAUCUAUUGCCCCUCGUUCCUAGUUCUGUAAAAGUGUUUGUUUAGAAGUGAGGAAAGGGAAGGACUCCUAGCUAGAAUACUGUAAGCAUUCUAAUAGGUUUUGAGGGAAGGAAGUUUGGAAUUUUGUCUUUAAGCAUUAAAGCUUGAGGGGAAAUUUUUCAUUGUGUAAUAUUUUAUUUAUGAGCACAAACUUGACUUCAAGUUUAAUGUACUCUUGAUAUUUGAUAUAAAGCAUUAGGUUUUAAGAACAAUAUGGAAAGUUGGGAAAGAGGAAGAAAUUCUUAGGAGGUCAGAAAAAUUAAAGGUCGGGAAAUGACACAGGUUGUACAGAUGAGUGAGUAGAAAGACUGCUGGACCUGGAAUCAGAAAAUAUGCGUUGUAGUUAUAAUUUUUCCAUGUACUUCCUGUCUGAUGUUGAUCAAGUGAAUUUAUCCCUGGAUAUAAAUUAGGAUGAUAUUAUCUAGUGCAUGGAUUUACCAUGGAGAUUUAAAGAAUUGUGUGCCAAUGUGUAUACCUUCUAGCCCUUUGUUUUUUGGUAAUUUUCCCUUGUGGAAACCAUAUUUCAAAGAUUAUUAUCUUAAAGAGGAUAUUCUUUCAGAAAAAAUAAUUUUUACCAUUUUUAAAAAAUUUUACUAUUAUUAUUUU